rnacentral:rRNA from 1 species
GGUUGCGAUCAUACCAGCACUAAUGCACCGGAUCCCAUCAGAACUCCGCAGUUAAGCGUGCUUGGGCGAGAGUAGUACUAGGAUGGGUGACCCCCUGGGAAGUCCUCGUAUUGCAACCCC